GGGCGGUUAGCUCAGUUGGUAGAGCACCGGACUUUUAAUCCGUAGGUUCUGGGUUCAAGUCCCAGGGAGCCGACCA
rnacentral:tRNA from 1 species